GAGGAACCCGGUGAGAGUCCGGGGCGGUCCCGCCACUGUCACCCUCCUUGCCAGGGAGGGGAGCCAGGAACUC
rnacentral:ncRNA from 1 species